rnacentral:rRNA from 1 species
GGAAUAUUGGACAAUGGGCGAAAGCCUGAUCCAGCAAUGCCACGUGUGCGAAGAAGGCCUUAGGGUUGUAAAGCACUUUAGUGAGGGAGGAAGUUGAUUGGGUUAAUACCCUGAUUGAUUGACAGUACCUCAAGAAUAAGCACCGGCAAACUCUGUGCCAGCAGCCGCGGUAAUACAGAGGGUGCAAGCGUUAAUCGGAAUUACUGGGCGUAAAGGGCUUGUAGGCGGUUAGUUAAGUUAGAUGUGAAAUACCUGGGCUCAACUCGGGAAUUGCAUUUAAUACUGAUUAACUAGAGUAUGUCAGAGGAAAGGGGAAUUUCCGGUGUAGCAGUGAAAUGCGUAGAUAUCGGAAGGAACAUCAGUGGCGAAGGCGCCUUUCUGGGAUAAUACUGACGCUGAGGAGCGAAGGCGUGGGGAGCAAACA